CCUGUAACUUCGGGCCCGGUGCAUGGAAGCGUCGCCGGCGCAGCUGCGUCCGGGUUCAAAUCGGCGUUAGAGAGCCGCCCGCGUGGACGUAUCAGUCUGUACCUAGACCUCGGUGGAGACCGAGGUCCAUGGUGAGCUUAAAUCUGGAGAACCGGAACAGACCGGCAACGGAGCAGUCCUAAUCCAAACUCUUACGGGCCACCGGAACACGGCACC
rnacentral:SRP_RNA from 1 species